rnacentral:rRNA from 1 species
CGAGUUUGCGCUCUCAGCCAUGAGGGAGCGCGGUGCACGGCUCAGUAACAUGUGGUUAACCUACCCUCAGGACGGGGAUACCCUCGGGAAACUGAGGCUAAUCCCAGAUAGAUGAGGGAUCCUGGAAUGGUUCCUCAUCGAAAAGGCACGCAUAUCAUGCUAUGCGUGUCGCCUGAGGAUGGGACCGCAUCCUAUCAGGUAGUUGGUGGGGUAACGGCCCACCAAGCCUAUAACGGGUACGGGCCCUGAGAGGGGGAGCCCGGAGAUGGGUACUGAGACAAGGACCCAGGCCCUACGGGGCGCAGCAGGCGCGAAACCUCCGCAAUGCGCGAAAGCGCGACGGGGCCACCCCGAGUGCCAUCCGCUGAGGGUGGCUUUUCCCUAGUGUAGUAAGCUAGGGGAAUAAGCGGGGGGCAAGUCUGGUGUCAGCCGCCGCGGUAAUACCAGCUCCGCGAGUGGUCGGGACGAUUAUUGGGCCUAAAGCGUCCGUAGCCGGCCUAACAAGUCUCUGGUUAAAUCUCAAGGCUUAACCUUGAGACCGCUGGAGAUACUGUUAGGCUAGGGGGCGGGAGAGGUUGAGGGUACUUCGCGGGUAGGGGCGAAAUCCUAUAAUCCGCGAAGGACCACCAGUGGCGAAGGCGCUCAACUGGAACGCGCCCGACGGUGAGGGACGAAAGCUAGGGGAGCAAAGGGGAUUAGAUACCCCCGUAGUCCUAGCCGUAAACGAUGCGGGCUAGG